rnacentral:rRNA from 1 species
AAUUUUGGACAAUGGGGGAAACCCUGAUCCAGCCAUCCCGCGUGUAUGAUUAAGGCCUUCGGCUUGUAAAGUACUUUUUGCAGAGAAGAAAAGGUAUCUCCUAAUACGAGAUACUGCUGUCCGUAUCUCAAGAAUAUGCAGCGGCUAACUACGUGCCAGCAGCAGCGGUAAUACGUAGGGUGCAAGCGUUAAUCGGAAUUACUGGGCGUAAAGCGUGUGUAGGCGGUUCGGAAAGAAAGAUGUGAAAUCCCAGGGCUCAACCUUGGAACUGCAUUUUUAACUGCCGAGCUAGAGUAUGUCAGAGGGGGGUAGAAUUCCACGUGUAGCAGUGAAAUGCGUAGAUAUGUGGAGGAAUACCGAUGGCGAAGGCAGCCCCCUGGGAUAAUACUGACGCUCAGACACGAAAGCGUGGGGAGCAAACAGG